UACGUAGGGCGCAAGCGUUGUCCGGAAUUAUUGGGCGUAAAGAGCUCGUAGGCGGCUUGUCACGUCGAUUGUGAAAGCCCGAGGCUUAACCUCGGGUCUGCAGUCGAUACGGGCUAGCUAGAGUGUGGUAGGGGAGAUCGGAAUUCCUGGUGUAGCGGUGAAAUGCGCAGAUAUCAGGAGGAACACCGGUGGCGAAGGCGGAUCUCUGGGCAUGUCCUGACGCUGAGGAGCGAAAGCCAGGGGAGCAAACGGG
rnacentral:rRNA from 1 species